GUGUAAUGACUUUAGUCUUACCUACCUUUAGGUUUGGUUUUUCUCUGGUAUGUUUUUUCCUAUGUCAGUAGAAUUGAUUUCUAGGAAACACUGCUAUUGGUAAUAGUUUGUGAUAAGAUUUCUCAAAAGUUGCUGAAGGAGGCCAUGCCUUUAAUCCUAGCACUUUGGGAGGCCAAGGUGGGUGGAUCACCUGAGCUCAGAAUUUUAAGACGUGCCUGGGCAACAUGAUGAGACCCUGUCUCUACUAAAAAUACAAAAAAUUUGCUGGGCGUGGUGGUGCGUACCUGUAGUCCCAGCCACUGGGGAGGCUGAGGCAUGAGAAUCGCUUGAACUUGAGAGGCAGAGGUUGCAGUAAGCCGAGGCCGUGCCACGUCACUCCAGCCUGGGUGACAGAGCGAGAC
rnacentral:lncRNA from 1 species